rnacentral:rRNA from 1 species
GGGUUGUGAGGUUAAGCGACUAAGCGUACACGGUGGAUGCCCUGGCAGUCAGAGGCGAUGAAGGACGUGCUAAUCUGCGAAAAGCGUCGGUAAGGUGAUAUGAACCGUUACAGCCGGCGAUGUCCGAAUGGGGAAACCCAGUGCAAUUCGUUGCACUAUCGUUAACUGAAUACAUAGGUUAACGAGGCGAACCGGGGGAACUGAAACAUCUAAGUACCCCGAGGAAAAGAAAUCAACCGAGAUUCCCCCAGUAGCGGCGAGCGAACGGGGAGCAGCCCAGAGUCUGAAUCAGCUUGUGUGUUAGUGGAACGGUCUGGAAAGUCCGACGGUACAGGGUGAUAGUCCCGUACACCAAAAUGCACAGGCUGUGAACUCGAAGAGUAGGGCGGGACACGUGGUAUCCUGUCUGAAUAUGGGGGGACCAUCCUCCAAGGCUAAAUACUCCUGACUGACCGAUAGUGAACCAGUACCGUGAGGUAAAGGCGAAAAGAACCCCGGCGAGGGGAGUGAAAAAGAACCUGAAACCGUGUACGUACAAGCAGUGGGAGCACCUUCGGGUGUGACUGCGUACCUUUUGUAUAAUGGGUCAGCGACUUAUAUUCUGUAGCAAGGUUAACCGUAUAGGGGAGCCGCAGGGAAACCGAGUCUUAACUGGGCGUUAAGUUGCAGGGUAUAGACCCGAAACCCGGUGAUCUAGCCAUGGGCAGGUUGAAGGUUGGGUAACACUAACUGGAGGACCGAACCGACUAAUGUUGAAAAAUUAGCGGAUGACUUGUGGCUGGGGGUGAAAGGCCAAUCAAACCGGGAGAUAGCUGGUUCUCCCCGAAAGCUAUUUAGGUAGCGCCUCGUGAAUUCAUCUUCGGGGGUAGAGCACUGUUUCGGCUAGGGGGUCAUCCCGACUUACCAACCCGAUGCAAACUACGAAUACCGAAGAAUGUUAUCACGGGAGACACACGGCGGGUGCUAACGUCCGUCGUGAAGAGGGAAACAACCCAGACCGCCAGCUAAGGUCCCAAAGUCAUGGUUAAGUGGGAAACGAUGUGGGAAGGCACAGACAGCCAGGAUGUUGGCUUAGAAGCAGCCAUCAUUUAAAGAAAGCGUAAUAGCUCACUGGUCGAGUCGGCCUGCGCGGAAGAUGUAACGGGGCUAAACCAUGCACCGAAGCUGCGGCAGCGACACUAUGUGUUGUUGGGUAGGGGAGCGUUCUGUAAGCCUGCGAAGGUGACCUGUGAGGGUUGCUGGAGGUAUCAGAAGUGCGAAUGCUGACAUAAGUAACGAUAAAGCGGGUGAAAAGCCCGCUCGCCGGAAGACCAAGGGUUCCUGUCCAACGUUAAUCGGGGCAGGGUGAGUCGACCCCUAAGGCGAGGCCGAAAGGCGUAGUCGAUGGGAAACAGGUUAAUAUUCCUGUACUUGGUGUUACUGCGAAGGGGGGACGGAGAAGGCUAUGUUAGCCGGGCGACGGUUGUCCCGGUUUAAGCAUGUAGGCUGGUUGUCCAGGCAAAUCCGGAUAAUCAAGGCUGAGGUGUGAUGACGAGGUACUACGGUGCUGAAGUAACAAAUGCCCUGCUUCCAGGAAAAGCCUCUAAGCAUCAGGUAACAUCAAAUCGUACCCCAAACCGACACAGGUGGUCAGGUAGAGAAUACCAAGGCGCUUGAGAGAACUCGGGUGAAGGAACUAGGCAAAAUGGUGCCGUAACUUCGGGAGAAGGCACGCUGGUGUGUAGGUGAAGUCCCUGCGGAUGGAGCUGAGACCAGUCGAAGAUACCAGCUGGCUGCAACUGUUUAUUAAAAACACAGCACUGUGCAAACACGAAAGUGGACGUAUACGGUGUGACGCCUGCCCGGUGCCGGAAGGUUAAUUGAUGGGGUUAUCCGUAAGGAGAAGCUCUUGAUCGAAGCCCCGGUAAACGGCGGCCGUAACUAUAACGGUCCUAAGGUAGCGAAAUUCCUUGUCGGGUAAGUUCCGACCUGCACGAAUGGCGUAAUGAUGGCCAGGCUGUCUCCACCCGAGACUCAGUGAAAUUGAACUCGCUGUGAAGAUGCAGUGUACCCGCGGCAAGACGGAAAGACCCCGUGAACCUUUACUAUAGCUUGACACUGAACAUUGAGCCUUGAUGUGUAGGAUAGGUGGGAGGCUUUGAAGCGUGGACGCCAGUCUGCGUGGAGCCAACCUUGAAAUACCACCCUUUAAUGUUUGAUGUUCUAACGUUGGCCCCUUACCGGGGUUGCGGACAGUGUCUGGUGGGUAGUUUGACUGGGGCGGUCUCCUCCCAAAGCGUAACGGAGGAGCACGAAGGUUAGCUAAUCCUGGUCGGACAUCAGGAGGUUAGUGCAAUGGCAUAAGCUAGCUUGACUGCGAGCGUGACGGCGCGAGCAGGUGCGAAAGCAGGUCAUAGUGAUCCGGUGGUUCUGAAUGGAAGGGCCAUCGCUCAACGGAUAAAAGGUACUCCGGGGAUAACAGGCUGAUACCGCCCAAGAGUUCAUAUCGACGGCGGUGUUUGGCACCUCGAUGUCGGCUCAUCACAUCCUGGGGCUGAAGUAGGUCCCAAGGGUAUGGCUGUUCGCCAUUUAAAGUGGUACGCGAGCUGGGUUUAGAACGUCGUGAGACAGUUCGGUCCCUAUCUGCCGUGGGCGCUGGAGAAUUGAGGGGGGCUGCUCCUAGUACGAGAGGACCGGAGUGGACGCAUCACUGGUGUUCGGGUUGUCAUGCCAAUGGCACUGCCCGGUAGCUAAAUGCGGAAGAGAUAAGUGCUGAAAGCAUCUAAGCACGAAACUUGCCCCGAGAUGAGUUCUCCCUGAGACUUUAAGUCUCCUGAAGGAACGUUAAAGACGAUGACGUUGAUAGGCCGGGUGUGUAAGCGCAGCGAUGCGUUGAGCUAACCGGUACUAAUGAACCGUGAGGCUUAACCUUACAACGCCGAAG